GCGGCCGUGGCGAAAGCGGUAGACGCGGCGGUUUCAAAAACCGCAGGGUUAAUCACCCGUGCGGGUUCGACUCCCGCCGGCCGCACCA
rnacentral:tRNA from 1 species